ACGUAUGCCCAACCUUCUAUAGAACCUCAGCAUGUGUACUGCCGUUGUAAGCAUACCUUUAAAAGAAUAGUAUGCUACUAUGACUAAUAACUCAUAUACAUCAGGUCAAAGUGCAGCCAAUAAGAAGGUGAUGAUGGGUUACAACCCUAAAACAGAAUAUCAACUAAGAAAUCAAAAAUCUUACGAAAGUGGACUUGGCCGUAAUAAAUUUAAAAUAAAGAAAUGAAUAAUAUCUAAGACAUGCACACAUCGCCCGUCACUCUAUCCUAAAGGUUAGAUAAGUCGUAACAAAGUAGGUGUAAUGGAAAUUGUACCUGUCGAAGUAUAGCAUAUAAAAUGCUUUUUACUUACACUAAAAAUAAAGUUAAAUAACUUGCUUCGCCCAUACAACUAAAUCUUAUAACUACAUAAUAAUAAAAACAAAUAAAUAAUACUACUAAUAAAGUACAGAAAUGGAAACAUAAAUAAAUAAAAGUAAAUAUUAACAACUGUACCUUGUGCAUUAUGGUUUUACAAGAAAAUAAUUAAACAUAUUAAUCCCGAAUUCUAAGUGAGAUGUUAAACUGCUGUUAUGAACCCACUAAUAUCUGUAGAAAAAGAUUUAAAAGACAGUUUAACAGAGGCUACAUACCAUCCGCAUAAGAAUAUAGCUGGUUUUCAAAAAACAUUAUAUAUUAAAACAUGUAAUACUAUUACAGUGUAAUAUUAUUGAGGACAAGCCCAAUAAUUAAUGCAAUAAUAUAAAUUUCUAUUUAACUUUAUAGGCCUAAAACCAGCCAAUUAUAAUACUUUACCGUAAUACAAAUAGAUAUAAUACAUGAUACACUAAUGCCCAAUAAAAUUGAAAUAGCGAAAAAACUAAUAAACACGCCCAUAUUAUGUAAAAAUAAGUAUUAUAUACAUAUACUAAAUAAACCUAGUAACAACACCACAUAAAUAAACAAUAAUUAAUUAAGGAACUCGGCAAACAAUUAUUUCGACUGUUUAACAAAAACAUUGUCUUAUGAACAAAAUAUUAG
rnacentral:rRNA from 1 species